rnacentral:rRNA from 1 species
UACGGGGGGGGCAAGCGUUGUUCGGAAUUACUGGGCGUAAAGGGCGCGUAGGCGGCCUGCUAAGUCGGACGUGAAAUCCCUCGGCUCAACCGAGGAACUGCGUCCGAUACUGGUGGGCUUGAAUCCGGGAGAGGGAUGUGGAAUUCCAGGUGUAGCGGUGAAAUGCGUAGAUAUCAGGAGGAACACCGGUGGUGUAGACGGCUUUCUGGACCGUAACUGACGCUGAGACACGAAAGCGUGGGUAGCAAACAGG